rnacentral:lncRNA from 1 species
CGGGGGGCGGGCGCGCCCGCCCGCCCCGCCCCCCGCCCCGCCAGGCCGGGCCUGCUGUGUCGCUCGCUUUCUCUCCCCGAGCAAGUGUCGGACACAGGCCCGCAUAAGCAUGUGACUGUAAGAGAAAAUAAGAGAGUAGUCAUGGGGACUGUUCCACUUGCAGCAAUGUUGGGAUCAAUCAUCUGAGAAAAGAUCCUGGAGAGACGAGGCAACGUAUUUUCCAUUUCUGAUGUCAGGAUUUGUUCUGUGAAACUGACCUUUAAAGCAGCCUGAAAAUGAGGAACGUGGCACCAGAGAGCAGAUCAGGAAGCAUGAAAUGAUACGUGAACUUAGCACUAGAAUCUGGAAGAGUUCUCAGACAGUAACACAACUGGCCAGUGCAGAGCGUGAACAGAUGUUAAACCCUCCCUCAGCGCAGAUGAAAGGAACAGGGGAAUGGAGUUGUUUGCAGAUUGCUUGA